UCGGGAAUUUUGGGCAAUGGGCGAAAGCCUGACCCAGCAACGCCGCGUGAAGGAUGAAGUAUUUCGGUAUGUAAACUUCGAAAGAAUAGGAAGAAUAAAUGACGGUACUAUUUAUAAGGUCCGGCUAACUACGUGCCAGCAGCCGCGGUAAUACGUAGGGACCAAGCGUUGUUCGGAUUUACUGGGCGUAAAGGGCGCGUAGGCGGCAAUUCAAGUCAUCUGUGAAAUCUCCGGGCUUAACUCGGAACGGUCAGAUGAUACCGCUUUGCUAGAGUGCAGAAGGGGCAAUCGGAAUUCUUGGUGUAGCGGUGAAAUGCGUAGAUAUCAAGAGGAACACCUGAGGUGAAGACGGGUUGCUGGGCUGACACUGACGCUGAGGCGCGAAAGCCAGGGGAGCAAACGGGAUUAGAUACCCCCGUAGUCCCUGAGCGGGCUGGCAAGGCGCAU
rnacentral:rRNA from 1 species